rnacentral:rRNA from 1 species
UACGAAGGGGGCUAGCGUUGCUCGGAAUCACUGGGCGUAAAGCGCACGUAGGCGGCUUUUUAAGUCAGGGGUGAAAUCCUGGAGCUCAACUCCAGAACUGCCUUUGAUACUGAGAAGCUUGAGUCCGGGAGAGGUGAGUGGAACUGCGAGUGUAGAGGUGAAAUUCGUAGAUAUUGGGAAGAACACCGGUGGCGAAGGCGGCUAUCUGGACCGACAUUGACGCUGAGGCGCGAAAGCGUGGGGAGCAAACAGG